rnacentral:lncRNA from 1 species
AUGGACUGGACCUUUCUCAGCCUCCUCGCUCACUGCACAGGUUUCAUGGCCACAUAUGAGCUGUCUCAGCCACCCUCAGUGUCAGUGGCCCCAUUACAGAUGGCCAGGAUCACCUGCUGUGGAAAUACUGUUGGAGGUGGAUAUGUUUAUUGGUACCAGCAGAAGUCAGGCCAGACCCCUGUGCCGGUCAUCUAUAAAGACAGCAAGUGGCCCUCAAGGACCCCUGAGUGAUUCUCUGGCUCCAACUUGUGGAACACAGCCACUCUGACCAUUAGUGGGGCCCAGGCCAGGGACGAGG